rnacentral:lncRNA from 1 species
CACAUAGUGACUGUGCAAGGCAGGACUUAGCCCUGGAGACGGGCAUGAAUCCAUGAGGCUAAGGAUUUGCCCAGAACACCAGCGAGCCUUGUCUGGCUCAUCACCUUCGCUGGCCUUAGAUGCAAGGACGUAUGAUGCUAAGAAAGGCAGGAGGGCCAUGUCUGCCACGGCAGUAGAGAAGCUGAGAAAACCUGGCUGUGGAAGAAAGCAUGAGACAGAAGAGCAGAGAAGCCAAGAUGGAACCCAUAAGAGAGGGGCUGGACCGAACGGUCCCGGUCUGUCUCAAGGGGAGCUGGGACCUCUGAAGCGCUGCAUGCUCAGUGGAUGAGAAGAGAACAUUCUACCCAGAGGAGCGAGGAGGCUGCAGGCAUGCUUGUCCGUCUCCGUCUGGACUCUGGGUGGAGCAGCAACACAGAGAGCCCUUCAGGAGUCUGUAAACACACGCCUGCGCCGCCCUCGGACUGAUGGUUUCAAUUUACCUCAUAAGCUUGAUUUCUGAACAGAGAAGCCAAGGAGCUAAACCAUAAUUGGUCCCAGGCUGACGAUACUUCUGGGGCAUCUGAAGAAGCCAAUCCAGAAUGUUCCGCAGGGCCACAUCCUCCACUCAGGCUACAUAGGGUUCCCACGGUCGGGCCCUGACGAAGAGGAGCUCAAGAACCAAAUUCCAAAACAAAGGAAGAAUGAAACAAACAUCGCACAUGGGAGGGAGCAGACAAAAAGGAAGAGGAAGAGAAUCCAGAGAUCUCCAAUCGUAGAAUGAUUCCAAGGGAAACUCGAAGACAAGUAUGUUGAAAAUGAAGACAGGAAAGAGUCAGAAUCACAAGAAUGGUGGGGGAGAGCAAGAGGUGAUCCACAGAGGACUUUCAGGGCAGUGAAAAUACUUGUAUGAUAUUAUAAUGGGCAAUGUGCGAUGAUCAAGGACACUUGAAGAAUGUAGCAAAUAUAAGAGGGGCCUGGCUGUCUGUGGCGUCCCCACCAGAGGUGGCCUGGAGAUGGCCUUGGCCAUCUUGGGAAGGCCCCCAGAUAUUGGCGGUGGCGCACAGGAAGGGGGAGGGGCCGAGACAGGCAGACACCGAUGGACUUAAGGGAACAAGUGACAGCUGGAAGAGCAUCAGAGGUGGGCAACCCUGACAAGCUCCAUGAGGACCCUGGUCCCUGGUGGCAGAACUGACAGACUCAACACCUGCGAUUAAGUUGGGAGGAGGAGGAGACACUUGAGGGCAGUGGGGAGGUGAGAUGGGGAGCGGAAGACAUCCAGUAAAGGUCAUCAACUCAGUUACCACUGCGGGCGACUUGAGAGUGACCACAUGGAAACCAGGAGGCGGCGUGAAGCACACGUGUCACAGAGCUGUCCACCAGAAUGCCGAGACCUGGCUGUUUAUUUUCAUCUCCUGCUUUUCCUAGGGCAGGCGUAUUAGCGCCCACACAGAAACAUUCACAGAGAAGAAGUCAACAAGCCGAAAGCCCUUGCCUUUGGAAAGCUGGAAGCUGAUUUGCCCUGGAGCGGUCUUUGCUUUUUAGAAUCGCCCUCCCUCCCUGACCAAAACACACACACUUAAAAGCCACAAUUGCUCAUCCAAAGUGGCUGUCAAUUUCACUCCAAAGAAAUGCAUGUGCACUCUCGCCUGUCCGCCCAUGUGAACACAGCAAGCUACUGACAUAACUACACCCAGUUCCAGUCCCAUCUGGAGAAGGCAUUACAGGAGGAAAGAGUUGGACCUGCGAGAACUCACAUCACCACAUACAUACUUGGAUGCUUAAACUUACGUCAUUUAAAUUGAGAAAGAGGACAUGGCCUUUACAGGUCACCUUCCUCUUCAAAAUAGUCUGGCUCCAUGUCCCCUAAGCACAGAGUGAACAUGCAAAAGGUCAGUGUUCGUCACUGAGCGAAUCCUGCCCUCGUCUUUCUCCAGUGCUGCAAAGACCUUACCCCUGCACAAGUGACUCCCCCCUGCACAAUGGACUCCCCCCUGCACAAGGGACUCCCCCUGCACAAGGGACUCCCCCCUGCACAAGGGACUCCACCUGCACAAGGGACUCCCCCCUGCACAAGGGACUCCCUCUGCACAAGGGACUCCCCCCUGCACAACGGACUCCCCCUGCACAAGGGACUUAUCUCCUGCUCAAGGGACUCCCCGUGCACAAGGAACUCAUCUCCUGCACAAUGGACUCGCCCCUGCACAAGGGACUCCCCCUGCACAAGGGACUCCCCCGGCACAAGGGACUCCCCCGGCACAAGGGACUCCCACCUGCACAAGGGACUCUCCCUGCACAAGGGAGUCAUCUCCUGCACAAUGGACUCCCCCCUGCACAGGGGACUCCCCCCUGCACAAUGGACUC